GCUGUGAUUGACAGCUCCUUCAGGACCAUAGAGCAUGCGGGCCAGACAGUUCCCUGAGAGCAAAGCUCUGGCUCACAGUACGCCACACGUGAUUUCUGCUCUCCAGCCCUCCAGCUCCUUAGAAUGUGGGACAGAGACCAUCGGCUCAGGUCUGUGUUCCUAGGGCUGGGACGCCUCAUAUAGCGGAAGGAGGAGGGACUUUGGGCUCCAACAGACCUGGGUGUGAAUCCAAGCGCCGCAGGUCACUUUACCUCUCUAAGCCUUAUUUUCGCUCCCAAACAUGUCUCCCUACAGGAUGGUGCCAAGGAUUUAAGUUAGUCCUUAAGGGCAGAGUGGGAACCUAGGCCCUAGUCCGGACCUGACAGCCAUGAUGGGGAUCGGGGCACUGCCUGUAUCUCACGUGAGAAAAGUUUGGAUCUCCACUCAGGCUGUGCAGUCUUGGGCAGAUAACACUUCUCUAAACCUCAGUUUCUUCCCUUGCAAAAAAUAGAGAAACAUGCUAUCUUAGUCUGUUUUCUUUCUUUCUUUUUUUUUUUUUUGUUUUUUGUUUUUCUGAGAUGGAGUCUCCCUCUGUCGCCCAGGCUGGAGUGCAGUGGCACGAUCUUGGCUCAUAGCGACCUCUGCCUCCUGGGUUCAAGCAACUUCUCGCCUCAGCCUCUUGAGUAGCUGGGAUUACAGGUGCCUGCCAACAUGCCCUGCUAAUUUUCGUAUUUUUGUAGAGAUGGGGUUUCACC
rnacentral:lncRNA from 10 species